rnacentral:SRP_RNA from 1 species
GCUGGGCGUGGUGGUGCAUGCCUGUAGUCCCGGUUACUGGGGAAGCCGAGGCAAGAGGAUUGUUUGAGCCCAUGAGUUCUGGGUUAUAGUGUGCUACGCCGUUCUGGUGUCUGCAUUAAGUUCGGCAUCAAUGUGGUGUCCUCCUGGGAGCAGGGGACCCCCUGUUUGUCUAAGGAAGGUGAACUGACCCAGGUUGGAAGGAGGGCAGGUCAAAACUGCUGUGCUGAUCAACAAUGGGAUUGCACCUGGGAGUAGCCACUGCACUCCAGUGUGGUUGACAUGGUGAAGCCCUGUCUCU